rnacentral:rRNA from 1 species
GACGAACCGUGCGAACGUUGUUCGGAUUCACUGGGCUUAAAGGGCGCGUAGGCAGACGGUCAAGUCGGGGGUGAAAUCUUUCAGCUUAACUGGAAAAGUGCCUCCGAUACUGAUCGUCUCGAGGGAGGUAGGGGCAUGUGGAACUUCCGGUGGAGCGGUGAAAUGCGUAGAUAUCAGGAGGAACACCAAUGGCGAAGGCAGCUCGCUGGGACGGUACUGACGCUGAGACGCGAAAGCGUGGGGAGCAAACAGG